CGGAUCCGCUCCGCUCUGCUCCCUGGUGUGUUGAUUCUUCCCCCAGCUGCUGCCUAAUGGAGUCCAGGCGCUCGCGUCACAGGAAAUGCCUAUACUGCCCUCCUCACUCACUUCCGGUGGCAGAUCAAGUCUUCAGCAGACAUCAUGUGACCUUGAGGAUGGAUGUCACAUGCUGGAGGAAACAGAAGGCCGAAACCCUGAUGACUUCACAGAGCUGCCAAAACAGUUCCUGACUGUUUAUUCCGGGUCUUUAACAAAGUGAUGAAAAGAAAUCCUUGCAGUAUGAAAACAACUUUUCUAUUCCAUGGAGCCAAACCUCAUUAUAACAGAUAACGUGACCCUCAGCGAUAUCCCAAGUAUUUUCCUGUUCUCAUCUAUACUAUGGCAAAGGGGCAAAUACCUCUCAGUAAAGAAAGAAAUAACAACUUCUAUCUUGGGCGAGGCAUUUCUUCUGUUAGAACUUUGUACACGGAAUAAAAUAGAUCUGUUUGUGCUUAUCUUUCUCCUUAGAAUUAUUGAAUUUGAAGUCUUUCCCAGGGUGGGGGUGGAGUGAAGCUGGGGUUUCAUAAGCACAUAGAUAGUAGUGUCUCUUAGCUUCCGUUUAAAUAUGGGGGUAGCGAUGUGGAGGGCCCAGAAGUAUCAGAGAGGAGAGACAGGCUGCUCUGAUUGCCUUUGUAAAAUGCACAUUUGAGCUUGUGCAAAGC
rnacentral:lncRNA from 1 species